rnacentral:misc_RNA from 1 species
UCCGGCUUAUCACCGGCAGUUUCUUUAGAGUGCUCAACUGAAUGGUAGCAACUAAUGACAAGGGUUGCGCUCGUUGCGGGACUUAACCCAACAUCUCACGACACGAGCUGACGACAGCCAUGCAGCACCUGUGUGUCGGUUCUCUUUCGAGCACUCCCUAAUCUCUCAGGGAUUCCGACCAUGUCAAGGGUAGGUAAGGUUUUUCGCGUUGCAUCGAAUUAAUCCACAUCAUCCACCGCUUGUGCGGGUCCCCGUCAAUUCCUUUGAGUUUUAAUCUUGCGACCGUACUCCCCAGGCGGUCUACUUCACGCGUUAGCUGCGUUACCAAGACAAUUAAGUCCCGACAACUAGUAGACAUCGUUUAGGGCGUGGACUAC